UACGAAGGGGGCUAGCGUUGUUCGGAUUUACUGGGCGUAAAGCGCACGUAGGCGGCUUUGUAAAGUUAGAGGUGAAAGCCCAGGGGCUUACCCACCGGAAUUGCCUUUAAGACUGCAUCGCUAGAAUUCGUGGAGAGGUGAGUGGAAUUCCGAGUGUAGAGGUGAAAUUCGUAGAUAUUCGGAAGAACACCAGUGGCGAAGGCG
rnacentral:rRNA from 1 species